GUGGCCUAAUGGAUAAGGCAUUGGCCUUCUAAGCCAGAGGCUGUGGGUUCAAUUCCAUCC
rnacentral:tRNA from 1 species